UUAACAACAGAGAUCGGAUAAUAAGUUAACUGCUUUUAACUGAAGUUUUCAUGUACCUUACCAACUAUAGGUGCUUGAGAGUUGUGACAAUAGAAAUGAAAUGGUCUAAUCCAAAAAUGCAAGCUCACAAGUCACAACCUAAUAUGUCUUCUCUCUUCUGAAUAAAAAUCAAGUCUGUUGCAGUUUUAAAUCUUCAAGAUAUUGAUGCCUUUGCCAGAUCCAAUUCUUUGUUGCUGACAAGAUAGAGAAUUCAUCAUUUUGUGUGCAACAGACCAAAUGAGAACCAUUUUGUUGCCCAUCCAAGGAUCAGGAAAAGGCCAACACCACCAACACAGUCAACAAGGUUUAGCGUUUAUGUUCGCAUAGUUGCUGAUGUGGCACGUUGUUGCAGCCUAUGGUGUCUGGUGAAAGAUCUUUCUGCAUCAAGUUCAACUGGUCGUUCCUUGGUGGUGGUGUUGUGUUACCAAAAUUGCAUCAUUAUAUUGUUAAAUUGUCAUUGUGUCUUAUCUGUUCCCGUUUAUAAGUUCAGAAGCAACAAAAACAAAUAUGGGAUGUUUAUGUCAAACAAAUAAUAAACAUGUUUUCGGGAUUGGGAAAGGAAAGUGGAGGAUGUUGGAGGGAGGGGGUAAUUCAAGUUUGGAUAAAAAAAAAAGUUAAUUUAUAACCCCACAAACAUAUCCCAACCAAUUAAUCUCCAAACCCCACAAACUUAUACCUUCCAAUCUUCACACCCCACAAAAAUACACCUACCAACCCUCAAAUUUAUACCCUAAAAGGCCUAAACCACACAAAUCAAUGUUAAACU
rnacentral:lncRNA from 1 species